CAGAAGGAAAAUAUGCUUCCGGACCACAGUUGAUCUUGGGGGCCUGUGAUGGCUGUUCUUGUGCUAACACUGAACUUUAAGUGGAAUGGCCUUACUUUUCUCAGCCUCCACAACUCACUGGACUUGAGAAAAAUUGGAGGACAUAAAUAGACUAGAGGAGACAGAAAAACAAAUUUGUGACCUGGAGGACAGAGUCAUGGAAAGUUAUCAACCUGAGCAGAUCAUGGAUGACUACAGAUCGUUUCCAUAAAUAUUCUCACCAACUGAUUCUAUAAAAAGAGUGAGUUAAUCUACUUGUGAAAUAUUUGCUGCUCUGUCCAGAAUAAACCUACCUGCUUGCCUCUGUGUCCUACAAAAUCUUCAUCUGAAGAGAAGGUGAAAGAAACCAGAGUUUUUGCAAUAGAGAGCCAAAGAAUCUAGGUGAAGAUGGAUUGGGAUGCAAGUGCCAUACAGCAGAGGACAACAGCAAGUACAGAAUGAGGACAUUGAGCUGAGGGCAGGCAGCAGCAAGAGACCCAUGCCAUCUAAGGGCAGCACUCAAAGCAGAGAUAAAGCUAAGAAUACAUCAAAACAGAGCACCAGUGCCCUCAAAAUGCAGAAAGAAGACCUGCUACAUCCCUCCCACAGUCAGAGGACCUUAGGCUUAAAAGCACAUUGCUAUAUAUUAUUGGAAGGAACAGAGGCACCAGACACCAGAUCAAUUAUACAUGUAUUCUAAUAUGGGACUCUUCUGCAUCUAAAAACACCUUCCCAUGUGAAGAUUCUAACGCAAGAGUAUCAGGAGGAAUAGAACCUAGGAGUGAUGCAUAGGCCAGGCACACAAAAGAAUUCAGACACAAAGGAGAAGUGUUAAAAUUUCAUAUCAUGGACUCUCUAUCAAGGAAAGAUCAGUAGAAAUUGAGGACUAGUAUAUGAGAUAACAGCCACUCGAUAUUUUCUCCCAUUUGCUGUCAAAUAGAGUGCUCAUCUCCAAACUGUUCACUGUUGCCAAUAAA